CGUGAUUCAAUGCCGGCGACUUGGGGAGAAGACCGUGAUGCAGAGGCUUCGUUUGCCGUCCGUUUUCGUUUUCAGUGCUCUUUCCUUGCGAGAUGUACACACUGCAUAGGUACGUGACGUCUGCACGCCGUUUUUCUCUAAUGUACUGAAAGGAAAGUCCUCGUUCUGACAAGCACGCCGCGAAACGACGGCCAUUUUUAGUCAGGUGAUUUAGUCACGUUCUCUUAAAUAACGAAGGUUUUCUUGUACAACUGAUCGAAUAAUGAGCAAAAGCAUGCGGUGCUUAGAAACAGCGCAGGUGGGAAAUGGUAAACAAUGAAUCUUAUUGGAGCGGCCUAAUUUAUAUGAUUUAGAACAAUAAAUGAAUUUUUGAGUGCAAAUUAACUUGGCCUCUACUGUUGGUGGUGAGAGGCACACUUGCCCUGACUAAGUUAGGUGGCACACCAGACUGAAAACAGAGUUGUAUGGGUUGAUAAUAAUGAAUUUCUUUAGUGUAAAUAACAGCGCAUACUCUCUGCUGUCUGUGACGAGUAGCGCACUUGCCCUGAUUAAGUUGGGUGGCACACCGAGCUGAAGAAAGAGUUGUAUUUGUAUGUGUUGACAAUAAUGAAAUAUUUUAACGUAAAUAGCCUUACCCUCUGCUGUCUGUUGCGAGUGGCUUGCUGCAUCUAGUGUUUAGUUAACAACAACAACAAGUAAUGAAAUUAAUAAAUUUUAUGAAAUCUGGACACUUUGUCUGGAGCUAUUUACUCAGACUUAGGUUGAUUAUUGCAUUAGACUAGAACAGUGUUCUAGUGUAUGUAUGAUUGCUGGUGUAUGUUUUGACGUGUAAUGUGGUAUUUGUCAAUACGUGUUCGCUAGAAUAUUCAGAUUAUAUCAUUGUCUAGCUUGCUUCAGAGUUUGCACGCAUGUUGUGCAAAUCAGAAUACUUUACUGCAGGCAUGAUGGAGAAGUGGAAUGAUUCAUGUACCAAGAUUUUGGCAAUGGAGCAUCAAGAAGUCAGAGUGGGUGGAAAAAAAUGAUUGAAACUGAAGAGAGAUAUUGGGCUGAGUUUAAAGACAUUGAUUACUCAGGUUGCAGACUUCAAUGGAGCUGAUGAUGGUGCAGCUUUCCAACAAGAGUCAGAAACCAGUUCGAGAAAAAGGUAAAGUUGAUAUUUGAUUAUCGGUAAGAUUGCUGC